GGCACCGCUGGGUGGCGCCCCUCUUCUGCCAGCGCCCCUGGCGAGUGCCAUCCUGGCCAAAGCGUAGAUACGCCCCUGGUGAUGUGUUUAGCAAGAUACUGAUUUAUUUUGCCACAAAUUCUGCUCUGUUUAGUGGCUUUUUCUGGGAUAGAAAUUCCUGCCUCUGUGCUGUGGUAGGAAAGGGAAAGUAAUGAGAGUGCCGCUCAAGAGAAGGAUUGGGACAAGAGUCACUGCUUCCAGACACUCAUUCAGAAGAAUAUACACUGCCAGAGCAUUAGAAUUAUUGUGUCAUAAACAAGGUACUGAUUUACUGUACCCACCCUGCAUUUUACAAGGAGGAACCUAUAGAAGGAAAUAUGUUAACAUCUCCAUAACAUAUACAGGAUGUGUUGUUAUAACCUUUAUGGUUUAGUUAUAGGUCAAAUUCUGUAUUUUUAUCUAUAAAGAAUUUUACCAAGAACAA